rnacentral:rRNA from 1 species
GACGAACGCUGGCGGCGUGCUUAACACAUGCAAGUCGAGCGGUAAGGCCCUUUCGGGGGUACACGAGCGGCGAACGGGUGAGUAACACGUGGGUGACCUGCCCUUAGCUCUGGGAUAAGCCUGGGAAACUGGGUCUAAUACCGGAUAUGACUCCACGACGCAUGUUGUGGGGUGGAAAGCCUUGUGCGGCUAGGGAUGGGCCUGCGGCCUAUCAGCUUGUUGGUGGGGUGAUGGCCACCAAGGCGACGACGGGUAGCCGGCCUGAGAGGGCGACCGGCCACACUGGGACUGAGACACGGCCCAGACUCCUACGGGAGGCAGCAGUGGGGAAUCUUGCGCAAUGGGCGAAAGCCUGACGCAGCGACGCCGCGUGGGGAUGACGGCCUC